rnacentral:tRNA from 2 species
GCACCUCUAGCUCAAUUGGCAGAGCAUCUGACUCUUAAUCAGCAGGUUCCGGGUUCAAGUCCCGGGGGGUGCA